GCCAGCGUCCCGAUGAGUCUGAUAGAACUCGCCCUGCAGCAUUGCCAGAACAUUGGCUCCGAAGUUCAUAGGACAGUGGCUAUUCCUCCUCCUCGGCGGUCCUGAGUCCUCGUCGGUGUGAGGGGUGAGAAACGGUGUCCCUUCUGUGCACACCUGAACCGCUGCGAAGAAACGGCCUCACCCCUAAGGAAGGUGCUCCCGUCCUCAGUCCCAAGAAAUGUGGGUGUUCUCCUUCCGCC